rnacentral:rRNA from 1 species
AUGGAUGCACUCCAGAAGCUCGUUCUGACAGUUCAGUACAGCGAGAGCCAGCUCCCAUCGUACCUGCAAACUGUAAAGUCAAGCCAUUUGCUGCUGGACUGUUGCCCGUUCAUACUCAUUUCCAUGGCUUUGGGAAAGUCUAGUUCCGAGUGGGACAAGUUCAGCCAUAUCCAGCAUGUCGAGGCUUAUGCAGAUGAGGAAGGCAUUGAAAAGAGAUGGCACGUAUUUUACACAAGGGACCCCUACAACAUGGAGACAAACAUCAAUCUGCAGGAGUUGCCAAAUGCUCUUAGCGUUUUCCAAUCAAGGGGUGAAGAUGGCAAAAGAAGCUGUACCGAGGGAAUCUGUGGCUGA